AAUGAUUGAGCGAUCUUGACUAGAUUUAAUUGACGCAUUAAGAAUUAAUAUUUUAUCGUCAGUAGAAGAAGUUAUUGGAUCUGCCAAAUAAAACCGCUUUGUUUAAAAUUUGAAUUGUUUACUCAAUUUCUAAUUUUAUCAAAACAACCCAAUAUUUUAUUAUCGACCUCGAAUCAAGUAGGAUUACCCGCUGAACUUAA
rnacentral:misc_RNA from 1 species